rnacentral:rRNA from 1 species
CCUACGGGUGGCAGCAGUAGGGCAUUUUCGUCAAUGGGCGCAAGCCUGAACGAGCAAUGCCGCGUGAACGAGGAAGGUCUUCGGAUCGUAAAGUUCUGUUGAAGGGGAAAAAGAGCGGAGAGAGGAAAUGGUCUCCGAUUGAUAUUACCCUUCGAGGAAGUCACGGCUAACUACGUGCCAGCAGCCGCGGUAAUACGUAGGUGGCGAGCGUUAUCCGGAAUGAUUGGGCGUAAAGGGUGCGUAGGCGGCCUGCUAAGUCUGGAGUGAAAGGUACCGGCUCAACCGGUACAGGCUCUGGAAACUGGCGGGCUAGAGAGCAGGCGAGGGCGGUGGAACUCCAUGUGUAGCGGUAAAAUGCGUAGUUAUAUGGAAGAACACCAGUGGCGAAGGCGGCCGCCUGGCCUGUUACUGACGCUGAGGCACGAAAGCGUGGGGAGCAAAUAGGAUUAGAUACCCGGGUAGUA